AUACUUACCUGGCAGGGGAGAUACCAUGAUCCCAAAGGUGGUUUUCCCUGGGCGAGGCUUAUCCAUUGCACUCCGGAUGUGCUGACACCUGAGAUUUCCGCAAAUGCGGGAAACUCAACUGCAUAAUUUGUGGUAGUGGGGGACUGCAUUCGCACUUUCCCCUG
ensembl:snRNA U1 U1 spliceosomal RNA